UACGGAGGGUGCAAGCGUUGUUCGGAAUUAUUGGGCGUAAAGGGCGCGUAGGCGGUUGCGUAAGUCAGAUGUGAAAUACUUCGGCUUAACCGAAGAACUGCAUUUGAAACUGCACAGCUAGAGUACAGGAGAGGGAAAUGGAAUUCCCGGUGUAGAGGUGAAAUUCGUAGAUAUCGGGAGGAACACCAGUGGCGAAGGCGAUUUCCUGGCCUGAUACUGACGCUGAGGCGCGAAAGCGUGGGGAG
rnacentral:rRNA from 1 species